GACGAACGCUGGCGGCGUGCUUAACACAUGCAAGUCGAACGGGCCUGUCUUCUUUUUUGGGGGGUGGGUUGAGUGGCGAACGGGUGAGUAUCGCGUGAGUAACCUGCCCUUCGGUCCUGGAUAACCGCUUGAAAGGGCGGCUAAUACGGGGUGGUCCGGUUGGUCCGCAUGGGCUGGUCGGGAUAGAUUCACUGUUUUUGGUGUUUCGGCGGGGGAUGGGCUCGCGGCCUAUCAGCUUGUUGGUGGGGUGAUGGCCUACCAAGGCGGUGACGGGUAGCCGGCGUGGGAGGGUGGGCGGCCACACUGGGACUGAGGUACGGCCCAGACUCCUGAGGGAGGCAGCAGUGGGGGGUAUUGCACAAUGGGCGGAAGCCUGAUGCAGCGACGUCGCGUGAGGGAUGGAGGCCUUCGGGUUGUGAACCUCUGUUUCCGGUGGUGAAGGCCCUGUCCGUGUGGUGGGGUUGACGGUAGCCGGGGAUGAAGCGCCGGCUAACUACGUG
rnacentral:rRNA from 1 species